AGGAAACUGAUGUUUCUUCCCUGCUGCUGGAGUGGGAUGCCAAGGAGAACUACUGCUACCCCAGGGACCAGCCUGAGCUUCUAGAGAGCCCUGCAACACCCAGUGCUGAGGAGCUGCUACUGCUACUCUUGGCAGUGUAUCCCAGGGAGACUGAGGACAAUUCCUGGAUGCAGCUUAAAACCUUCCUAAAGGGAGAGAGAUUCUCUGUGCUGCGGCAUCCACACUUAAUGAGGCCACUGGUGACAUUUUGAAACAGAACUGUCUGCCAACAGGUUUUUACCCUACUGGGCCAGCUCUCCAUAGUAACCACUCUUUGAGGUUCAGCCCCAAAAUCACUAUCAAGUCUGAUGAUAACGAGAAGAUUCAGGGGAGCAAAGCAAAAGAUCUCCUAUCCACUGGGGACAUUUUCCAGGGGCCCGCAGAGCCUAAGAGAGAUACAAUAUAUUCCCAGAGCAGUACUGGUCAACAGGGUUCCUGUGUAACCUCUUAAGGGUCACCUCCCAGGAGACUUUGGACUGGAUUUCUCAAGAUAGACUUGGUGGAAGACACACAGGUGGAUAUGUUCCAUGAGUUUCCGUGAACACUCCUGUUGGCCGUAUCCCUCCUACUAAAAAAUCAGAUAUUGGAGUCUUUCCUGGACCAGGACAUCUUCUAUUGUAUAGCUGGGCAUAAAGAGGAGGAAGUGUUUCAUCCUUUUAUGUGGCAGUCCAAGAGGUAUAGAUAAAGAAUGGAGCAUGUGUCUUCUCUGGGAAAAUGUCUGUUUUGCAGCUGUCUGUCUUCAUAGAUGAAUGAGAAUAUUUGUGUAUGAACAAAGGGAAUCUAGCUGAUAAUUGGAAAAGCGUAUGAACAGCCAUUUCAAAUCUACAUGCCAUCGUGCAUAACAGAGUUGGAACAUAGACCAAAGAAAUGAAAGGCAGAAUCAAAGGAAGUAGCAACACAAGAUAAUAUGAAGAGACCUUUCUCAGAAAGAGAUAAAUAAUGAAAUAUAAAGACUUUGGCAUGACUGAUACCAUUGUUAUAACUCAAACUGCACUUGCAAAGAAAAUGACCAGGGGAAGCCGACAUUUAAUGUAGACAUUAAACCUGCACAAUACUAAAAUAGAUGUCAGAAGAAUCCAGAGGAAGAAUGAACUUCUCAUGCAGUCUUCAGGAGCCUUACUUGAUGUGCUUGUGAGGAGUUUUUGAUUUUUAGGCUACCUGUUGCUUACAAACUGUUUGAUUUGACUAUUUCUCUUCAUUAUUCACUGUUCGUGGCAUGUGAUUGGUCACCUAAUUUGUAAGAUAUAGUUUCUGCUCUCUGCUUGUCUAAGCAACACUUUUAAA